rnacentral:rRNA from 1 species
AGUGAACGCUGGCGGUAGGCCUAACACAUGCAAGUCGAACGGCAGCACAGUAAGAGCUUGCUCUUACGGGUGGCGAGUGGCGGACGGGUGAGGAAUACAUCGGAAUCUACUUUUUCGUGGGGGAUAACGUAGGGAAACUUACGCUAAUACCGCAUACGACCUACGGGUGAAAGCAGGGGAUCUUCGGACCUUGCGCGUUUGAAUGAGCCGAUGUCGGAUUAGCUAGUUGGCGGGGUAAAGGCCCACCAAGGCGACGAUCCGUAGCUGGUCUGAGAGGAUGAUCAGCCACAAUGGAAGUGAGACACGGUCCAGACUACUACGGGAGGCAGCAGUGGGGAAUAUUGGACAAUGGGCGCAAGCCUGAUCCAGCAAUACCGCGUGGGUGAAGAAGGCCUUCGGGUUGUAAAGCCCUUUUGUUGGGAAAGAAAAGCAGCAGGUUAAUACCACGCUGUUCUGACGGUACCCAAAGAAUAAGCACCGGCUAACUUCGUG